AUGUGCCAAUUUUUGGGAUUUGCUGGUUUUGGGAAUGCACCAAUUUUGGGGAUUUUCCCAUUUUUGGGAUGGUUCCGUUUUUGGGAUGCAUUGAUCUUUGGGAUGUUUCUGGUUUGGGGAUUUUUCCAUUCUUGGAAUGUUCUGGGUUUUGGGGAUUUGCGGGUUUUUGGGUUUUGCCAAUUUCGGGAUGCGUUGAUUUUUGGGAUGUUUCCGUUUUUGGGAUGCAGAGAUUUUUGGGAUGCUCCAGGUUGGGGAUGUGUCGUUUUUUGGGAUGCGCAGAUUUUUGGGAAUGUGGUGGGCGGGGAAGUUCAGGAAGGUCCCAACCACAUCUGUGGAGUUGGGAUGUUUUUUUGGGAAUGGCUUCAAUUCCCAAGGUCUGGAAUUCCUGGAGUUGUGGUGUUUUGUGGGAAUUCCCAAGGUCUGGAAUUCCUGGAAUUCUGGAGCUUUUUGGGAAUGGCUUCAAUUCCCAAGGUCUGGAAUUCAUGGAAUUGUGGAGCUUUUUGGGAAUUCCCAAGGUCUGGAAUUCCUGAAGUUGCAGUGUUUUGUGGGAAUUCCCAAGGUUUGGAAUUCCUGGAAUUACGGAGCUUUUUGGGGAAUUCCCAAGGUCUGGAAUUCCUGGAGUUGGGAUGGUUUUUGGGAAUGGCUUUGAUUCCCAAGGUCUGGAAUUCCCGGAGUUGCAGUGUUUUGUGGGAAUUCCCAAGGUCUGGAAUUCCUGGAGUUGGGACAUUUUUUGAGAAUCACUUAAAUUCCCAAGGUCUGGAAUUCCUGGAAUUGUGGAGCUUUUGGGGAAUGGCUUCAAUUCCCAAGGUCUGGAAUUCCUGGAGCUGUGGUGGUUUUUGGGAAUUCCCAAGGUCUGGAAUUCCUGGAAUUGCGGCAAACGAGGAAGAAGAGUUUUGGGAGCUCCCGGCUGUGGGAAGUGGGGAAUGGACUGGGAAUUCUGGGAUGAAGCCUGGGGGUUGCUGUGGGAAUUCCUGGGAAUGGUCGGUCCCGGCUGUGGGAAUUCCUGGGAAUGGUCGGUCCCGGAAUCCCGGUCGGGAUCCCGGGGGAUCCCGGAAAUUUUUGGGAUUUCAUUCCGUGGGUUCCAGAUCCCAGGAGCGGAUCCAAGAGUUUGGGCAGGGAUUUUUCCAGAGAAAAAUGGGAAUGUCUGGGAGCACAGGAAGGAACCGGGAGGGGUUUGGGGGUGGAUUGGGAUUGGAAUUCCUGGGAAUGGGAGCAGGGGAAUGGGAAAGGGAAAAAUGGGAAAAGGGGAUGGAAUUACUGGGAUGGGAAAAGGGGAAUGGAAUUACAAGGAUGGGAAUUUAG
rnacentral:lncRNA from 1 species